UACAGAGGGUGCAAGCGUUGCUCGGAAUCAUUGGGCGUAAAGGGUAGGUAGGUGGUCUCAUUUGUCUGGGGUGAAAUCCUUGAGCUUAACUCAAGAAGUGCCCCAGAAACGGUGAGACUGGAGUCCUGGAGAGGGUCGUGGAAUUCCCGGUGUAGCGGUGAAAUGCGUAGAGAUGUGGAGGAACACCGAUGGCGAAGGCAGCCUCCUGGGCCAGCACUGACGCUCAUGCACGAAAGCGUGGGGAGCAAACAGG
rnacentral:rRNA from 1 species